rnacentral:rRNA from 1 species
GUGGGGAAUUGUUCGCAAUGGGCGAAAGCCUGACGACGCAACGCCGCGUGGAGGAUGAAGGUCUUCGGAUUGUAAACUCCUGUUGCCCGGGACGAAUGACUCGCGACCUAACACGUCGUGGGGAUGACGGUACCGGGUGAGGAAGCCCCGGCUAACUCUGUGCCAGCAGCCGCGGUAAUACAGAGGGGGCAAGCGUUGUUCGGAAUUACUGGGCGUAAAGGGCGCGUAGGCGGCCCACUAAGUCGGACGUGAAAUCCCUCGGCUCAACCGGGGAACUGCGUCCGAUACUGGAGGGCUUGAAUCCGGGAGAGGGAUGCGGAAUUCCAGGUGUAGCGGUGAAAUGCGUAGAUAUCUGGAGGAACACCGGUGGCGAAGGCGGCAUCCUGGACCGGCAUUGACGCUGAGGCGCGAAAGCCAGGGGAGCAAACGGGAUUAGAAACCCCAGUAGUCC